UCUAUUUAAAAUUAGUUAUUCACUAAUCAAACAACUUUAAACAUGUCUCCCUGUAGUUAAUAUAAUUAAUAACAAUUCUACUUACAUUUUUUUUGUUCUAUUAUUUGUUUUGUAAGUACUUUGUUAUUCGCUUACCAAAUUAUUAUAUCAAUUCUAUUUAAAAAAAAAAAAUACACUAACCAUUAUUUGAUUAUCCGCCGCGAAGCGCGGGUCGUUUACUAGUAUUCUAUUAAAAGUUUA
rnacentral:lncRNA from 1 species